ensembl:lncRNA
CACCCCCACUGCCCUAUCAUGGUCUCCAUCGUUCAGAAGGUUCCCCAAUUCAUUAGAAGAAUGGCUGGAGUACGAAGAUUCUGUUGGGUCCAAACCCUUUUGAACUCAAGUCUGAUAAUAUGAUCAUCACGUCUGGUAAUAUGAGCAGGAACCAUUCAGUGAUCAAGAAAUGUGCUGCUCACUCCAUCAGGAGCUGGUAUCAGAGAUGAAGGAACCCCAACUACAAAUACCUGUGUAAACAUCCAGAAAACAACAAGAAGACACAGGGACACACAAGGAGAAGACUCCUCUCUCGUAUGAUGAUGGGGGCAGAGACAGAGAUGUCCAAGGAACACUGGGGCCACCAGGGGCUGGAAGAGACAAGGAAGAAUCCUCUCCUAGAGGCUUCAGAGGAGCAUGGCCAUGCCCACACUUUGACUUUGGGCUUCUAACUUGCCCAAGUGCAGGAGAAUAAAUUUCCUUUCUAAGC